GACGAACGCUGGCGGCGUGCUUAACACAUGCAAGUCGAACGGAAAGGCCCUGCUUUUGUGGGGUGCUCGAGUGGCGAACGGGUGAGUAACACGUGUGUAACCUGCCCUUGACUUUGGGAUAACUUCAGGAAACUGGGGCUAAUACCGGAUAGGAGCUCCUGCUGCAUGGUGGGGGUUGGAAAGUUUCGGCGGUUGGGGAUGGACUCGCGGCUUAUCAGCUUGUUGGUGGGGUAGUGGCUUACCAAGCCUUUGACGGGUAGCCGGCCUGGGAGGGUGGCCGGCCACAUUGGGACUGAGAGACGGCCCAGACUCGUACGGGAGGCAGCGGUGGGGAAUAUUGCACAAUGGGCGGAAGCCUGAUACAGCAACGCCGCGUGCGGGAUGACGGCCUUCGGGUUGUAAACCGCUUUCGCCUGUGACGAAGCGUGAGUGACGGUAAUGGGUAAAGAAGCACCGGCUAACUACGUG
rnacentral:rRNA from 1 species